rnacentral:rRNA from 1 species
GCAGAGAUGGCUUGGUGCUCGAAAGAGAACCGUAACACAGGGUGCUGCAUGGCUGCUCGCUCAAAUCGUGUCGUGAGAUGUUGGGUUAAGUCCCGCAACGAGCGCAACCCUUGUCAUUAGUUGCUACAUUUGGUUGGGCACUCUAAUGAGACUGCCGGUGACAAACCGGAGGAAGGUGGGGAUGACGUCAAGUCCUCAUGGCCCUUAUAGGUAGGGCUACACACGUCAUACAAUGGAUGGUACAGAGGGUCGCCAACCCGCGAGGGGGAGCUAAUCCCAUAAAACCAUUCGUAGUCCGGAUCGCAGUCUGCAACUCGACUGCGUGAAGUCGGAAUCGCUAGUAAUCGCGGAUCAGAAUGUCGCGGUGAAUACGUUCCCGGGUCUUGUACACACCGCCCGUCACGCCAUGGGAGCGGGUUCUGCCAGAAGUAGUUAG